CCUUCGCUCAACAGAUCGCUGUCGAAGCUUACACACAGAGAUACUUCAUCUGAAGCAUCUCUUCCUCUAGCUUUGGGAGAAAGUCCCCGGACACCUUCUUUUCUUCCUCACCGAUUAAAAGAACUUGCGGAAACGCGCCGCCAUAAAAGCACUGCGGCUGACUUCCGCGCCUUGGCUGCCUCUGGCAGCGACCAUGCCCGGCCCUCCGCUACAUUCGCCUACCUCGAAGCUAACGCGACACCUUUUGUUCCCAUAGCCGCCGCUCGAACCCUUACAGGAUGAAGAUACGAGUCCGAGUCGGGUGCGGUCGGGACGGAGUGUGCGCCUAGCAGACAGUGGGUGGAUGGUGGGCUGACGCUUGUGGUUCUUGCUGUGGUGGUUUCGGGCGCAGAGGAUUUUCGUCGAGGUCGAUAGUUAUGCGAUUGCUGGCCUUCACGGCUCAGUUACUCGAUGGGGCUCAUUCUUGAGGCGAAG
rnacentral:RNase_MRP_RNA from 2 species